GUAACACGUGAAGAACUUGUCCGGUGGCGGGGGAUAGCCGGCCCAACGGCCGGGUAAUACCGCAUACGCUCG
rnacentral:rRNA from 1 species